rnacentral:lncRNA from 1 species
GAAAGAAAGCUCCAGAAAACAUCUGUGGCUGCUGGCUUUCUCAUGCCUCCCAUUGUUGGGAGACCACGGACGUCGGUGGAGGAGGGAAGUUCUGUCACCUGUUUGGAAGCUGAAGCUGGCAACUCUGACUGGCUUGUGACAGCUGCGAGAGUCUCUAGCUUGGUGCCAGAAGAGCGAGGAGAAGAGGCUUGUGUGGUGAGCGUGGAUGAUGGAGGUGACCCUGGAGGAGAGAGGUCUGUUCUUAGUGCUGUCAUGAUGAGAGGUCUUGUUUGGAACAGAGUCUCAGUGGGGUCCUUGGCAAGAUCCAGGGAGGCGCUAUGUCCACUUCCUUGGUAAAGCGAUGACGAGAAGUCCACAUGCGCCCUGGUCCUACUGUGUGCCUUGGGCAGGGGUGUCUGGGGUAGCUUCGGCAAGGUCGCGUUGUCAGGAGGCCGUCCCAGCACGUUCUUGAGUCUGUCCGCUGCUGAGGAAGACUUGACUUCCAAGAAAGGCCAUGUUGGUGAAAUUGGUAACAAUUUCCCAAGGGGAAAGGACUCUGAGGUCGGAGUGACAUGAAUCUGUAGAUUGUCUGUCCCUGUGAAGGAAAGCAUCCACAUGAGAUGUGGGAUCAGGAUGCGGCUGCAGUGGGCGGGCGCUGGAGGCAAGGAGCAGGCAAGACAGCCUGGCCUUGCUUGUUUAAUGUAAGAGGAGCUGUGGCCCACAAAGGGGACAGCCUCUGCUGGAAGAGAGGUCGGUAUGAGGGGCCCUAGGCUGCAUCUCCAGUUGCUUUUCUCAGGGACUGUAUUCUGCCAACCGAAAAAGGAACAACUGGAGAAAGUCUUAUAAUAGGAAGGCUUUGCGAAUACGCAACAGCCUCUCCGUGACAAAAGCUGAGCUGUGAUGGUCUUCUAAGAUGGUGUUUCCAGUUUCCCCUUGUGCAGCUUGGAGAAGGACAGGUGGACGGUGUCUUUCACCCUAAGUAAGAACACGUGGUCAGCUUUCCUUUUGAUCUUCUGUGCUCUUGUGAGUUCCCUUUUUCUUUUUUAAAUAAAUUUUUAACUUAUUUUAACUU